CCUACGUGUGUCUGCAGUGAGGAAUAUUGGUCAAUGGGCGCGAGCCUGAACCAGCCAAGUAGCGUGAAGGAUGACUGCCCUACGGAUUGUAAACUUCUUUUAUAAAGGCAUAAAGUUAGACACGUGUGUCUUUUUGUAUGUACUUUAUGAAUAAGGAUCGGCUAACUCCGUGCCAGCCGCCGCGGUCAUACGGAGGAUCCGAGCGUUAUCCGGAUUUAUUGUGUUUAAAGGGAGCGUAGUAGGGUUGUUAAGUCAGUUGUGAAAGUUUGCGGCUUAACCGGAAAAUUGCAAUUGAUACUGGUAGUCUAGAGUACAGUUGAGGUAGGCGGAAUGUGUGGUGUAGCGGUGAAAUGCUUAGAGAUCACGAAGAACUCCGAUUGCGAAGGCAGCUUACUAAACUGCCACUGACAUUGAGGCUCGAAAGUGUGGGUAGCAAACAGGAUUAGAUACCCGGGUAGUC
rnacentral:rRNA from 1 species